UAUGUGUGUGUGUAUAUAUAUACAUAUACAUAUGUGUGUGUGUAUAUAUAUAUAUAUAUAUAUAUAUAUAACACAAAUC